rnacentral:piRNA from 1 species
AAGUGACAUAGCAGGUAGACUCAGA